CCUGGAAUGUAAUCAUGGAUAGCCAUGGAUGAUCAGCUUCCAUCAUGUGGUCAUGGAACAAGAUGGAAGGAAGCUGGGGCCCUGAGUGACCCGUGGAGCAGAGGCCUUUGCCCACCCUGGGCUGCCUGAUUUCCCCUGGACUAUCAUGAGACAGAAGAAAAAGCCUCUAUCUAUUUGAACCACUGUGUUUUGGGAACCUUGGAUUAGAGCAGCUUAGCCUUCGUACGCUAACAAGGUGUAUGUAUCUGCUCUUUGUUGCUUUUGUAGAUAGUUGUGUUAUAAGCCUGAAUGCAGAAGUUGUCCCCCAGACUACUGGAUUUGCUGCCUUUUACAACAGGUUCAUUGAAGUAUAAUUGACAUACCAUGAACUGCACAUAGAAGCUUGAACUCUGAUGGGAAGGUGAGAGAAAGAAGUGCUUUUGGAAGCAUUUGGAGGGAAGAGAGAGACCUUGAAGCUGGGAAUGGGGCAAAGGCAGUGAAUUAUAAAAGACUGGGAAUCUGUACCUCCUUCCUUGAUGACACCCAAGAGAGUGAUGUUUUGUGGACUAUAAUUUAUAUCUACUAUGUAUAUGAACUCAUGUCACCCUCAUAGUGUCUCUUGAACUUAGAGGACUGGCAAAAGCUGGAAGGGGUAUGAUUUUCAUUAUAUCUAGUCCACUGAGGGCACUGGAGAGACAGGUAUCUCUCUAUUCUUAGGUCUUGAUUAAGAGAUGAGGUGGAGAGAUUACAGUUUAUGCCUUUUAGCUUUUUACCAGCAUUAUGAGUUCACCUAUGUUAAGAACUGUACAGGGGCUGAGAUUUCUCCCUACUUGCAAACUAACAAGUGAGCCCAUCACAAUUUCCUGGAUGCUUGCAGAAGACAUGAGACUCUUGGAUUACAGACAAAGGACAGUAUACUACUGACUAGAUAGAAGUAGGCAGAAUAUCGUCAUUUUCUUGUGCAAUUCCCCGAGCCCUAAUUUCCAUAAGGUGACAAGAGGAGGGGCAGGUGAUGCCUACACAGCUUGCAUUUUUGGUGAGGAGCUCUGAGCUUAGGCAACUGAAGUCUUUAAUAAUCUGCAGUAAACUUUCAUCCUCUUUGUUUUGGAAAGAAACACUAUCUUUAUCUUCCAAGAUUGUGAGCAAAUCUACCCUUUGUUCUGGAAUAAGACACUCUAUAGUCUCAGGCUGUUUCUUUACCAACAGCAACAAGUUAGUCUUAAACAAAGGAACCUCAGUACCUCACUUUCAAGACAAUCAAGAUUAUUUCCCAACAUUCUACUAGUAGAGGGUCAGUAACAGAGUUAAAAGUUCUCAGACUGGGGGUAGAACUGAAAACCCAGUUGAGAAGUAUCAAGCCGCCCUCCUUCCCCAAAGCUACAUAUUCUUGUAUUAGGGUCUUACCAGGAAAUGGAGGGCACAUUUACACAGGGCAGCCAAAGAGACUGUUUCAAAGGAAACCAGCAAGAUGUGACAAAGCACCCCAAGACUAGCGACAUUAGGAGACCUUCUCACUUGACUUAAAGGGCUGGGGCAGGUGAGUUACAGGACCCAGUAGUAGCUGUAGCCAAAGCUCUGGGCAGGGCCACCUAACACAAGCUGCACCCUUCUGUAGAGCAGCACAGACCUUGUGCAUCUGAGGCCCAGCAGGUUGGGGCCUUCCUCAUCCUUCCCUUGCAGCUUUUGCCAAUGCUUCCUGUUGCCUGAACCCAGCUGGAAGCCAGAGGGCAAGGGAAAUCAAUUGACACAGAUAAUGAAGGUAAUCCCCCAGGCACAGGGCAGUAUAGCAGAGGUGAGGAGUCUGUCUAGGGCCACAAAGGAAGCCCACGAAGCACUCAGAGGACUGAGUCCAGAGGGGAAAGCAGUCACUUAUCCCCAAAGAAAUCUGUCACACAUUUGGGCUUUGAUUUAUCAAUGAGAAGGCUUGAGGGACAGUGGGAAAAAUGAUGAGUCAUUAGCUCCUUGUGGAAAUGGUGCCCUUGAAGGAUGAACCUGUAAUCACAAGGUACAUGUGGGUGAAUGUUGGUGUAACAGGUGGAGGGAAUGAAAGGACAGAGAGAGCAUGAGAACACUGUAAGCGGAGCAGAAGUCCAUGCAAAAGCUAGAGACGUGAGACAGCAGGGUACAUUUAGGGACCCGCAGGUGGUCUGGAGUGGUUUUGCUGUGGGCUGUGAUGAGAUAUCCACCGUGUUGGAGCUCUUGAACAAAAAGGAGAUCAUCUAAGCUGCUUGUUUCUGUUUUUUUCUUUUCUUUUUUUUUCCUGAUGGAUUUCAAUUAGGUGAGGGGUACUAGGCAGAAACCCCUCCUGAAUACAAACCCUCUGUCUUAUUCUACCAAUUAAAGAUGAACAAUGGCUCACUUCC